GGGCCGCUAGCUCAACUGGCAGAGCAGCGGACUUUUAAUCCGUUGGUUCAGGGUUCGAGCCCCUGGCGGCCCACCA
rnacentral:tRNA from 2 species